GGGGAUUUAGCUCAGUGGUAGAGCGCUUGCCUAGCAAGUACAAGGCCCUGUGUUCAGUCCUCA
rfam:Rattus norvegicus chromosome 10, whole genome shotgun sequence.